CCUGGAACGGGACGCCAUAGAGGGUGAGAGCCCCGUCUGGUCGGACACCAAGCCAGUGUAAAGCUCCUUUCGACGAGUCGAGUAGUUUGGGAAUGCUGCUCUAAAUGGGAGGUAUAUGUCUUCUAAAGCUAAAUACCGGCCAGAGACCGAUAGCGCACAAGUAGAGUGAUCGAAAGAUGAAAAGCACUUUGAAAAGAGGNUUAAACAGUACGUGAAAUUGUUGAAAGGNAAGCGUUUAUGACCAGACUUGGNCCCGGUGAAUCAUCCAGCGUUCUCGCUGUGCACUUUGCCGGNNUCAGGCCAGCAUCAGUUCGCCGCGGG
rnacentral:rRNA from 1 species